rnacentral:rRNA from 1 species
CCCUUAGAUGUCCUGGGCUGCACGCGCGCUACACUGGAAGUUACGGAUUGAGAUACUACCUUGUCCGAAAUGGUCCGGGUAAUCACCUAAAAGCUUGUCAUAAUUGGAAUGGAUUAUUGUAACUAGUAAUCCUGAACGAGGAAUUCCUAGUAAGUCCCAGUCAACAGCUGGUACUGAUUACGUCCCUGCCCUUUGUACACACCGCCCGUCGCUACUACUGAUUGGACGUUUAAGCGAGAUUUUUAAACACUGACAGUGUGUAGUUCACGCUAUACUACAGUGAGAAGAAGAAGAUCGAGCUUACUUGUCUAGAGGAAGUAAAAGUCGUAACA